UGAGGAAUAUUGGUCAAUGGGCGCAAGCCUGAACCAGCCAUCCCGCGUGCAGGAAGACGGCCCUAUGGGUUGUAAACUGCUUUUCCAGGGAGAGAAACUUACGCACGUGUUGCGUGACUGACGGUACCCUGGGAAUAAGCAUCGGCUAACUCCGUGCCAGCAGCCGCGGUAAUACGGAGGAUGCAAGCGUUAUCCGGAUUCAUUGGGUUUAAAGGGUGCGUAGGCGGGCUAUUAAGUCAGUGGUGAAAUCCUGCAGCUUAACUGCAGAACUGCCGUUGAUACUGAUAGUCUUGAGUUUGGUUAAGGUAGGCGGAAUGUGUAAUGUAGCGGUGAAAUGCUUAGAUAUUACACAGAACACCAAUUGCGUAGGCAGCUUACUGAGCCGACACUGACGCUGAGGCACGAAAGCGUGGGGAUCAAACAGG
rnacentral:rRNA from 1 species